rnacentral:rRNA from 1 species
GACGAACGCUGGCGGCGUGCUUAACACAUGCAAGUCGAACGGAAAGGCACUGCUUUUGUGGGGUGCUCGAGUGGCGAACGGGUGAGUAACACGUGAGUAACCUGAUCUUGACUUUGGGAUAACUUCAGGAAACUGGGGCUAAUACCGGAUAGGAGAUCCUGCUGCAUGGUGGGGGUUGGAAAGUUUCGGCGGUUGGGGAUGGAUUCGCGGCUUAUCAGCUUGUUGGUGGGGUAGUGGCUUACCCAGGCUUUGACGGGUAGCCGGCCUGAGAGGGUGACCGGCGACAGUGGGACUGAGAGACGGCCCAGACGCCUACAGGAGGCAGCAGUGGGGAAUAUUGCACAAUGAUCGGAAGCCUGAGGCAGCGACGCCGCGUGCGGGAUGACGGCCUUCGGGGUAUAAACCGCUGUCGCCUGAGACGAAGCUGUAGUGACGGUAAUGGAUAAAGAAGCACCGGCUAACUACGUG